rnacentral:rRNA from 1 species
GUAGGGGGCAAGCGUUAUCCGGAAUUACUGGGUGUAAAGGGAGCGUAGGCGGCAAGGUAAGUAAGAUGUGAAAGCCCGCAGCUUAACUGCGAGGAUUGCAUUUUAAACUAUCUAGCUUGAGUACAGGAGAGGUAAGCGGAAUUCCUAGUGUAGCGGUGAAAUGCGUAGAUAUUAGGAAGAACACCAGUGGCGAAGGCGGCUUACUGGACUGUAACUGACGCUGAGGCUCGAAAGCGUGGGGAGCGAA